AGGUCACAGUCAGAAGUGGGACAACCCAAGUCCAUCAGCUGAUGAACAAAUGUGUCCCGGCUCCACAAAGGGGAGGAAUUCAUCUGUGAAGUAGAGCAAGGUUUUACGUGCCGUGGACGAAGCUUUAAACAAGCUAAGUGAAGCUGCGUUACAAAGGCCACAUACCACAUGAUUCUGUUUAAUGAAAAGCGGCAAAUCUGUCGAGACGGAAAUCAGAUUAUUGAUUGGCCGAGUCUAGCAGAGAGUGUAAUUAGGAGUGACUCCUGACCGAUCCAGCCGUUAGAGAGUGGUGAUAGAUAGUUGAGUUGUACGGAACUAUCAAUAUUCUAUCUAUGACUGAAGUAAGUCACUCAUUUUAGAAUGGUUUGAAAUGAUAAUUUGUUGCGUGUAUUUCCAUUUCAUUUUUUUUAUUGGAAAAGAAGAAGUGAGAACCAAGAACCUGGCUUUUCAGCAGCAGCAUUCUUGACCUCAGAAAGAGAGGACGUGUUGGGCCCGACCGCCCAACUUGGAGUUCUGUGCACUUGGAAUCUAGCGGGUUGGGUUUCCUAGUGACGCGCAUGGUUUUUCUCGGCAUGACACCUGGUUCCAUCUGUGCUUGGUGAUGCUUAGUGAUGUCCUUAGGCAACUUCAGCUCUAGCUUAUGUCAUCGUAGGAGCUGCCCAUCCUUAUGUUAAUCAGUCUGAGCUGAUAAAUGCUAGGGAGAGCAUCUGCAGGCAGGCUGUGAGCAGGUUACCCGUGAAAACCUAGAGCCAUGGUCUGCCAAAGGACCCAAGCCCCUGGAUUAUGGCGAACAGCCCAGGGAGCCAGCCUCAUUGGCCACUCCCUUAAUUAUUGUUUUCAUUCGCAACUAAGGUCCAAGCUUACCAGAGCAAGUGGGUCAUGCUCCCAGUCAGUUAUGUGGGACACUCACCUUUAUGAACCAGUAGCUUCCUCAUGUCCAUGGCCACGCCCAGUGCCUGCUCUUUCACCCAGUAAAGCCUCUGGCUUCUUGGCAUGCCUGGUGUGUUGGUUUCUAUAUGCUUGGGCCAGAGAGUGGCACUAUUAGGAGGUGUGGCCUUGUUGGAGAAAGUGUGUCACCUUGGGGGUGGGCCCUAGUCCUAGCUGCCUGGAGGCCAGUCUUCUCUUAGAGACCUUCAGAUGAAGAUGUAGACCUCUCAGCUUCUUCAGCACCAUGCCUGCCUGGAGGCUGCCAUGCUCCCCACCUUGAUGAUAUGAUACUGGACUGAACCUCCAAGCCAGCCCCAAUUAUAUGUUAUCCUUCUAAGAGUUUCCUUGGUCUGGUGUCUGUUCACAGCAGUAAAACCCUAACUAAGACACCUGGAGUUGCAGAGAAAAUGCAGAUGACAAGUGGCUAUAGCACAGUCUGAAUUUGCAGCAUGCGUUCUGUUCCCAUAACAGAGAUAAGAGAGGGUACUUAGACACAUACUCUGUGACCCAGAUUCCCUGUCAAGCCAUUCACUGUUAGCUUGUUUGGCCCUGUGUAACUCUUACCCAAGAGUCACCAGAAUUGCUGGUAAAAGGGGGAAGGACUCUCUGGCAAUUACAGAUCACUCCCCUAAUGUUAGCCUUACUACAUCAGGAGUCUGCCCUGCCCUGACAUGCCUGCUCCCUCGUCCUAGUCUGGUUCCCCUACGCUGGGUGGCAUUUCUAAUCUGCUUACCGUAUUCUUGUUCAUAUGUGUCGUCUUGUAAAGUAUAUGGUUUUCACCUUCCUAUAUUAAGCAAGGUGUUUUUGUUUUUGAGGUAUACCUGGGUACAUAGUUCAUUCCUUAUUACUGCUGGAUGGAUCGCAUUGCCUAGAUAUAACACAUCAUUCAGGGUGUUCCAGUUUGCAGCUGAUAUGAAUUAGCUUGCUAUGAGUACCUUUUCUUGAAAAUGGAUUUUUUUUAAUACAGUACAUUCUGAUUAUGGUUUCCCCCCCUUAACUCCUCCCAGAUGCUCCCCACCUCCUUAUCUACCCAUAUCCACGCCCUUUCCUUCUCUCACGAGGAGACAAACAUCUAAAACAAUUACUACUAAUAAUACAAUAUUAUUAAUUAAUUAAUUAACAAACAGAAGAAAAAGAGCC
rnacentral:lncRNA from 1 species